CCAGACUCCUACGGGAGGCAGCAGUGAGGAAUAUUGGUCAAUGGGCGAGAGCCUGAACCAGCCAAGUCGCGUGAGGGAAGACGGUCCUAUGGAUUGUAAACCUCUUUUGUCGGGGAGCAAAAAGGCCUCGUGAGGCCACAAGCGAGAGUACCCGAAGAAAAAGCAUCGGCUAACUCCGUGCCAGCAGCCGCGGUAAUACGGAGGAUGCGAGCGUUAUCCGGAUUUAUUGGGUUUAAAGGGUGCGCAGGCGGCACGGCAAGCCGGCGGUCAAAUCGCGGGGCUCAAUCCCGCCCAGCCGUCGGAACUGCCGGGCUAGAGUGGGCGAGAAGUGCGCGGAAUGCGUGGUGUAGCGGUGAAAUGCAUAGAUAUCACGCAGAACUCCGAUUGCGAAGGCAGCGCACCGGCGCCCUACUGACGCUGAAGCACGAAAGCGUGGGUAUCGAACAGGAUUAGAUACCCCAGUAGAG
rnacentral:rRNA from 1 species